rnacentral:misc_RNA from 1 species
UUGAACUAUGGUGGAAACCCUCUCUUCUCUCUCUCUACGUUUUUGGCUGGUUUUGGGGAAGGAGAUGGCUGCUGGAUCUUUGAUGAAUUUAGUCUUCAAUUUGUCUCUUUAUUAGUUAGUCAAAUAAGGGCUUAAUUGUGAUUGGUUGGUAAUUAUAAAUGACAUCACCAUGAUGUCAUAAAUAAGCCUUUUUCCUCAUUUUCUUUUCUUUCCUCCACUACUC